rnacentral:rRNA from 1 species
UACGUAGGUGACCAGCGUUGUCCGGAUUUACUGGGCGUAAAGAGCGCGCAGGCGGUCGUUCAAGUCGAGUGUGAAAGCCCACGGCUCAACCGUGGAGGGUCAUUGGAAACUGGGGAACUUGAGUGCAGAAGAGGAAAGUGGAAUUCCAAGUGUAGCGGUGAAAUGCGUAGAGAUUUGGAGGAACACCAGUGGCGAAGGCGACUUUCUGGUCUGUAACUGACACUGAGGCGCGAAAGCGUGGGGAGCGAACAGG